rnacentral:rRNA from 1 species
AAUGGGCGGAAGCCUGAACCAGCCAUGCCGCGUGCAGGAAGAAUGCCCUACGGGUUGUAAACUGCUUUUCCCCGGGAAGAAUAAGGCCCCUGCGGGGGCCGAUGCCGGUACCGGGGGAAUAAGGAUCGGCUAACUCCGUGCCAGCAGCCGCGGUAAUACGGAGGAUGCAAGCGUUAUCCGGAUUUAUUGGGUUUAAAGGGUGCGUAGGCGGACUUGUAAGUCAGUGGUGAAAGUUUGCAGCUUAACUGUAAAAUUGCCGUUGAAACUGCGGGGCUUGAGUGCAAAUGAGGUAGGCGGAAUGUGUCGUGUAGCGGUGAAAUGCAUAGAUAUAACACAGAACUCCGAUUGCGAAGGCAGCUUACUGGGAUGCAACUGACGCUGAUGCACGAAAGCGUGGGUAUCAAA